CCUACGGUGGCAGCAGUGGGGAAUAUUGGACAAUGGGCGAAAGCCUGAUCCAGCCAUGCCGCGUGUGUGAAGAAGGCCUUCGGGUUGUAAAGCACUUUCAGUGGGGAAGAAAGCCUUGGGGCUAAUACCCUCGAGGAAGGACAUCACCCACAGAAGAAGCACCGGCUAACUCCGUGCCAGCAGCCGCGGUAAUACGGAGGGUGCGAGCGUUAAUCGGAAUUACUGGGCGUAAAGCGCGCGUAGGCGGUCUGAUAAGCCGGUUGUGAAAGCCCCGGGCUCAACCUGGGAACGGCAUCCGGAACUGUCAGGGGAGAGUGCAGGAGAGGAAGGUAGAAUCCCCGGUGUAGGGGUGAAAUGCGUAGAGAGCGGGAGGAAUACCAGUGGCGAAGGGGGCCUUAGGGACGGACACUGCCGCUGGGGUGCGAAAGCGUGGGUAGCAAACAGGAUUAGAAACCCCUGUAGUC
rnacentral:rRNA from 1 species